rnacentral:rRNA from 1 species
UGGGGAAUUUUGGACAAUGGGCGAAAGCCUGAUCCAGCAAUGCCGCGUGUGUGAAGAAGGCCUUCGGGUUGUAAAGCACUUUUGUCCGGAAAGAAAUCCUUGGCUCUAAUACAGUCGGGGGAUGACGGUACCGGAAGAAUAAGCACCGGCUAACUACGUGCCAGCAGCCGCGGUAAUACGUAGGGUGCAAGCGUUAAUCGGAAUUACUGGGCGUAAAGCGUGCGCAGGCGGUUUGCUAAGACCGAUGUGAAAUCCCCGGGCUCAACCUGGGAACUGCAUUGGUGACUGGCAGGCUAGAGUAUGGCAGAGGGGGGUAGAAUUCCACGUGUAGCAGUGAAAUGCGUAGAGAUGUGGAGGAAUACCGAUGGCGAAGGCAGCCCCUGGGCAAUACUGACGCUCAUGCACGAAAGCGUGGGGAGCAAACAGGAUUNGAUACCCUGGUAGUCCACGCCCUAAA